CUGUCACAUUCUUUUUAUGGUAUGUUGUUAAAGACUAAACACGGAUGACUUUGCUGUAAAAUGCACGACCUGUUCGGGAGGCUGUGGUUGGUUGAUACGCCGAGGACACGGAGCGAGGACGGGAGUAAAGGACAAAGACGGAGCUCUCGACCUGCUGAGGGAACUAAAGAACAUCAAGAUGUCUCUGGAGACCCUGCAGUUCUUCUGUUCACGGAAUCAUCCAACGUUCACUUGAUCAGUCAGAAAAGCAGUUAUUUCUACUUUCACUCGACGACAUGGCUGAAAAAACCUUCAAACGGGGGAGUUUUUCUACUUGGACCCUCCCCUUGACAACUUGUUGGAAGAACAUAUACCCAGAAGGUGCAUGUAACAGGUUCGAGUCUGGGGCAGGCACCAAAGAGGCAACACACACACAAUUGUGAGGGCAGUAACCGUUUUUAUUUAUUUGUCACGCUUCUGGUAGCGACCGAUCCGGGCCUCCG